AUGAACGCUGGCGGCGUGCCUAAUACAUGCAAGUCGAGCGAACAGAUGAGGAGCUUGCUCCUCUGACGUUAGCGGCGGGCGGGUGAGUAACACGUGGAUAACCUACCUAUAAGACUGGGAUAACUUCGGGAAACCGGAGCUAAUACCGGAUAAUAUAUUGAACCGCAUGGUUCAAUAGUGAAAGACGGUUUUGCUGUCACUUAUAGAUGGAUCCGCGCCGCAUUAGCUAGUUGGUAAGGUAACGGCUUACCAAGGCGACGAUGCGUAGCCGACCUGAGAGGGUGAUCGGCCACACUGGAACUGAGACACGGUCCAGACUCCUACGGGAGGCAGCAGUAGGGAAUCUUCCGCAAUGGGCGAAAGCCUGACGGAGCAACGCCGCGUGAGUGAUGAAGGUCUUCGGAUCGUAAAACUCUGUUAUUAGGGAAGAACAAAUGUGUAAGUAACUAUGCACGUCUUGACGGUACCUAAUCAGAAAGCCACGGCUAACUACGUG
rnacentral:rRNA from 1 species